rnacentral:rRNA from 1 species
GGUGAACGCUGGCGGUAGGCCUAACACAUGCAAGUCGAACGGCAGCACAGUAAGAGCUUGCUCUUACGGGUGGCGAGUGGCGGACGGGUGAGGAAUACAUCGGAAUCUACUUUUUCGUGGGGGAUAACGUAGGGAAACUUACGCUAAUACCGCAUACGACCUACGGGUGAAAGCAGGGGAUCUUCGGACCUUGCGCGAUUGAAUGAGCCGAUGUCGGAUUAGCUAGUUGGCGGGGUAAAGGCCCACCAAGGCGACGAUCCGUAGCUGGUCUGAGAGGAUGAUCAGCCACACGGGAACGGAGACAGGGUCCAGACCCCUAGGGGAGGCAGCAGGGGGGAAUUUUGGAAAAUGGGCGCAAGCCUGAUCCAGCCAUCCCGCGUGGGUGAAGAAGGCCUUCGGGUUGUAAAGCCCUUUUUUUGGGAAAGAAAAGAAGCAGGUUAAUCCCCCGCUGUUCUGACGGUACCCAAAAAAUAAGCACCGGCUAACUUCGU